AGAGAACACAUCAUGCAAGUCGGGGAGAAGGAGGGAGACAACACAGUAAUCUGAAACAAGAAGAGGGCCGAGGAGGGAAGGAAAUGCUUUUGCAUCUGUGCAAAGAAAUUCCCUCGCUGGCCAGAGGUGCAGUGAGCUUGGCCCAGACUUUGGUGCCAUCCCACAGACAGGGACCUGGGAGGUUUCUACAGUGCAGAUGAGGAACCGAAACCCACCCCACCCAUUGGGACCUUGUGCUUUGUGCCACUGAGCUACAUCCCCAGUAGAUCCCUUAAUCUUAACGGAUGUGGAGGGAUGGGAGGUCUGCCUUUUCAUGGCUGCUUCAGGCAGAGGAGGGGCCUUGACCUUCCCAGCCAGGGAGCAAAAGUCUCACCUUGAUCUAAGGGGACAAAGGAAGAUGGAGUCUUGUUCGAUGAACAAUCAUCACUUGAUGGUCUGGAACAGAGGACAAGAGCAUUGAGACUCCUAUCUUCGAAAAUCACAUUGUUCUAGCUUUUCCUCCUUAAGUUUUGCAAUGGCCAUCAGUUGAAUUGCAUUGGAAAGUCCAAAACAGACACUGAUUCAAAGGUCAGCAAUGACUCUUCCCCAGUGCUCUGGAAAACCUCAGAAGCAAGUGGUGUCCAGCCUGUGUGCUACUAGGAAGGCCAUGAGCAACUCUCCUCUGCCCAGGCCUUUCCACCAUGCUGCGUCUUCCCUGGAGCAGCGGACUAUGCCUGAAACCUCUACAAACUGUGAGCCAAAAUAAACCUCUUCUCCUUAAGUCGCAGGCAUCAGGUACCAGGGGUCGAACUGGGGACCUUGAGCUUGUGAGGCAGGCGGCACCACUGAGCUACAUCCCCAGCCCCGACCUCUGUAUUCUUACUAGUGUCUUUGUCUUAAAGUAUAUCUUAUUUGUUAUUGACAUAGCUUUAGCAGUACAAUUAGUAUUUUGCCUUUAAUGUGAACAUUUCUCUGUCAUCAUGUUCUAGGUAUAUUUCUUGUAAACAGCAUGGAAGAGGAUUUUUAAGAAUCCAGUCUGUCUAAUCCUCCAUCUGUAUUGUCACUAAUGGCAAAAUACAUGAAAGUGCACUACAACUACUAGGAUAGUUGGAUUUAAUUUUAUCACUUUCAUUUUUUAUUCCACUCAUUCUACUCAUUUGAAAUAAACAAAACUGAAUUCAUUGCCAGCACAUCUGUACUACAAGAAGAAUGAAAGGAAUUUCUUCAGGCAGAAGGAAAUGAUGGCAGGUGGCAAUUCGCAUCCACAAAGAAAUGAAGCUUUAGUGUUAUCUCAUCAUCUUUGCCACUUUCUGGAGCAGUUCUGAAGGUCCUCUUUCAUGUCUUUACAAGAUGUGGUCAAAAACACAGCAAAUGCUUCUUCUAAGUACCAUCCAAUGGAAAAGCAGCCUUGUAAAAACAGCACAGCAAGUCCUCAUCCACCUUACUCGUGAGAUCUGGCACCGUGCAACUUCUGCCUCUACCCCUAAGCCAAGAUGACCAUGAAAG
ensembl:lncRNA